AACGAACGCUAUCGGUAUGCUUAACACAUGCAAGUCGGACGGACUAAUUAGGGCUUGCUCCAAUUAGUUAGUGGCAGACGGGUGGGUAACACGUGGGAAUCUGCCCAUCAGUACGGAAUAACUUUUAGAAAUAAAAGCUAAUACCGUAUAUUCUCUACAGAGGAAAGAUUUAUCGCUGAUGGAUGAGCCCGCGUCAGAUUAGGUAGUUGGUGAGGUAACGGCUCACCAAGCCGACGAUCUGUAGCUGGUCUGAGAGGAUGAUCAGCCACACUGGGACUGAGACACGGCCCAGACUCCUACGGGAGGCAGCAGUGGGGAAUAUUGGACAAUGGGCGAAAGCCUGAUCCAGCAAUACCGAGUGAGUGAUAAAGGCCCUAGGGUUGUAAAGCUCUUUUAGCAAGGAAGAUAAUGACGUUACUUGCAGAAAAAGCCCCGGCUAACUCCGUG
rnacentral:rRNA from 1 species